rnacentral:rRNA from 1 species
GCAGUGGAGACAUUGUCCUUCAGUUAGGCUGGCCCCAGAACAGGUGCUGCAUGGCUGUCGUCAGCUCGUGUCGUGAGAUGUUGGGUUAAGUCCCGCAACGAGCGCAACCCUCGCCCUUAGUUGCCAGCAUUUAGUUGGGCACUCUAAGGGGACUGCCGGUGAUAAGCCGAGAGGAAGGUGGGGAUGACGUCAAGUCCUCAUGGCCCUUACGGGCUGGGCUACACACGUGCUACAAUGGUGGUGACAGUGGGCAGCGAGACAGCGAUGUCGAGCUAAUCUCCAAAAGCCAUCUCAGUUCGGAUUGCACUCUGCAACUCGAGUGCAUGAAGUUGGAAUCGCUAGUAAUCGCAGAUCAG